rnacentral:lncRNA from 1 species
AUGAAUUGCAUUGAAGAGGCUCCAGUCGAAGGUGGUUAGUUCUAAGGCAAGAUCCCAGGUGUUGAUUCCCAAAAUUCUCACAGACCGUUGCUGCAAUUCUUCAUUUUCAGCAAAUGGGUUCAAAGAAUCAGUCAGGUCUCUUCGGUAGACAAACAUACGACUGGAUGACUCAUAAGAUUUUGAGAUGGCCAAGUCAUUUGGUUGUAGUUCAUGUUUUUCACCAGAGAAUGUGAUGAUCACCAGUGCCAAUUCCUCCUCCGGGUAUUGGAUCUUUUCUGCAACAAUCUUCACUAUCUCCUGCGCUGAAGUGGUUACUUGAGCUUUCACGCUGACGUAGGAGUGCUCCGUGAUGUACACGCGACAGAAAAUUUCUUCUGCUUCAUUCAUGGUUCCUCUGUGCUGCAGCCAGUUCUCC